CCCGGCCCAGCCCAGCUCCCCGGCCGGCAGCCCUUUCCUCGCCGACCGCCUCCCCUCGCACCCCCACCGCCUUUGUCUCCUUCUCGGCGCUGCCGGCUGGUGAAGGCGGCGGGGAGCGGCCGGGCCGGCGGUGAAGGCGGCGGUGUGUCCCGUCUCCCGUGAGCGCCCCGGCGCGCCACGGUGCAGCCAUGAGCGGCCAAGGUCACACAGCCCUCGGGGAGCCCCGAGGCGGCCCCCGAGGCACCACCUCACCCACAGCCGUUAGCUCCACAUCUAGCCCUCAGCCCCCGGCCCGCAAGGAGGAAGCUCGUGUGCUGGUUCAAGUGGGCCGGCGGGGUCUGGUUUUCCUCGGGUGAGAAACAGCUUCCCACAAGCUCGGUGAGCAUGGAGAGCUGCCUGGACAGCUGACCGUGUCCCAUCAGGGCACUACCGUUUGUAACAGUGCCAAUGUGCGCCCGUUGGACUGUGCUGCAUUGCAUACAGGUCUCUUUGCUGGCAAUGCAAGCAGUACGCAGGCCUGCUCAGGCUUCCUUUUUUAGGGAGAUGUUGCUGAAAGUGGCUCUUGGAGCCCGUGCCUGUCUGCAUAGAAUCAUGGAACCAUCAGACAGCCCAGGCUGGAAGGGAGCUGGAAAGAUCAUCUGGUCCAGCCUUUUGUGGGACAGAGCCUAGAUGAGAUUAUCUAUCACCCUGUCCAGACACAUCUUGAAAACCACGCUUUUUGUAGCCACUCUUUCGGUACUGGAAUAUUGUGAUGAGGAGCCGACUCUCCCCCUGCCUCCCCACUCCCCUGCCAUCUCUCCUCAAGGGAGAUAAGACCUAAGUCAGUCCUUCCUCACAGGGCAGGUUGUGCUGACCUUUGAUCAUAUUUGUGGCCCUCCUGUCUGUCCAUGUUUUUAUUGAAACAUGGGGACCAGAACUGGGGACAGUACUCCAGGUACAGUCUGACAAUCGUGGGAUGAUUGUGCCUCUCUUCCUGUAAUAGUAAUACCACUGUGGAUGCAGCCCAGGAUCUGAUUUGCCUUUGUUGCUGCAGCAGCGCACUGCUGAUUCAUGUUCAGCUUGUCUACCAGGACCCCCAGGUCCCUUUGAGCAAGGCUGCUCCCCAGCCACACAGGUCCCAGCCUGUACUGGGCUCUGUUUAUGUUGUCCCACGUGCUGGACUUUGUACUUGCCUUUGUUAAACUUUAUGCUGUUCUUCCUUCUCCAAUCUUCCAGCCUGUCCAGGUCUCCCUUUAGGACAGCUCUCCCUUCUCAUGUGUCCACCUCACCACCCCAUUCAGUGUCAUCGGCAAACUUGGUGAAGGUGCUUUCAAUCCCAUCAUUCAGGUCAUUUGUGAAGAUGAACAGCAUGUCAAUCCCUGGGGACCCCACUUGUGACAGGCUGCCAGCCCGAGUACGAAACAUUGAUCACCACCAUCUGAGUGCAGCCUUUUAGCAAAUUUUCCAUCCAUCUUGCAGACCACCUAUCCAAACUGUAUCAUGCUACUUUGUCCAGGCGAAGACUUCCUCAUGGAUGGAGGCACAGAAAGACGACUUUCAAUGUUAUAAGUGACUUACAGGACUUUCUAGCUGAAUUAGUUUCUGCUGCUGUGGCUGCCAAACCAAGGUGGAUGUGGAGUGGAACCCUGCUGAAAGUAGCAUGUUUUCACAUGCACAAUUGAUAGAAACCAGUGCCAGGGACCUUCCUGGAGCUUGAGGAGAAUCGUAAGUAGACAUGCAGCUUGCAGGGAAAAUGUCAGCACAUUUCUCAACACAUUGACAUGAGGGCUGCUAGCCACAGUUCUCCCUCUCUGGCAUGUUGUGUCUGCUGCUGACACAAGCUGUUGCAGCUGAGGGCACGCAACUGCAGAAGCCUCAGUCAAGGACUAAAACCAAGAAAACGACAUUUUAAAGGAAAAGUAGUUUCAACACAGGGCUAGUCAUUAUAAAUGGCAAGUUCUGCACAGCUGCUCUGCCACAGUACAAUGCAGAAGGCAUGCCACAGGGGGAUGCCAGCAGGAUAGGAUAGGAGCAGCACAACCUCCUGAGCCCUACCAGUAAAGGUGCCUCUGUGGCUCAUGUAAGCAUACAUUGGUGGCAAGGGAGGCUCUGCUGCUGCAGGGUUUCAUUCUGCAGUUCUUGCUCAGCCAAAACUCAGCUGUUCUGACCAAGGAUGGAUGCUGACUUGGAUGGGAGGCCGACAGCUCUUGGGAAGUUUUGCGUUGCUGGAGUUUGCAUGUUCAAGGCUUAAGGCCUUCCUUCCAACAGCACUGAUUAGUGUGGUUUUCCCACGUUAAUCAUUUUGACUCAUCCCCUUUUACCAAAAACUCAGGAGCCUACCGCCAGUGGAAUCACAGUUACAUGUAGGACAUAGCAUGCAGGUUCAAUGUGAAGUCUGGCAUGUAGCAAUAUGAAGGAAGGUUCCACUGGUGUUCGCUACCUAAAGCUGAGGCAUGAAUGUGUAUGGGUUUUGUUCUUUUUUGUAUUUAGUCUCAACAGCUUAAGAAAUUAGUGCUCUGACCUCCUGCUGGAAGUUACCGCUACCUCAGCAUCAGAGGGCUGGUGAAAACACAAGCAUACCUGGACAAACUGAACUGGAAAAUUUUUCUCAUAAAAUUUUUUAUUAUUUUGAUUUGGAUUUAUCCAUGUUCUCCUCUAGGCUGGAGAGCACUUACAGCUCCUUGCUACUUGCUACUCUCUUCAGUCACCAGUAGUUUGUAGACACCUACAUUUCGGUACUCAUUACAAGCCUUUUGAGGCCAAAAAUCAGAAGUACUAAGCAUGCAAUACACUAGUUAUUGUCAAGAGAAACUAGGACUGCUCAGCACGUUUGACACUGGUUUGAAUACCUAAAUCGGUGUGCACGUGGGUCAAUAAACAGUUGUAGUACAGGUCAGAUCCACUGACCAGUAAGGACUUAAAAUCAUUGCCUUACAUAGCCUUGCACUACUACCAGCACUUUCAAAAGGAUCACAAAUAAUGUGAGAUUUAAUGUUUCUUAAAGCGUCAGACUCCAAGUAACUCCAAGUUUAAUUCUCUAAAUAAACUUAGAGAAGUUUACCGCUGUCUAGUCAGUACUUCUGAAAAAAGAUUUUCAUUCCUUUGAUUGCAACUGAAAAACAUGAUUUGUAAAUGCUCCCAUGCUGGGACAAUCCAGCCGUAGCCAGUUCAAGUGCAUGAUCCAUAAAAUCUCACAGGCAAAUCUCAGGUUUUCUUCUGGGUGUCCUGACACAAAGUUUUCAAGUGUUUUAGUUUAUUACCACUGCUCUUCUGUAUAUACAGAGUCAGUGCACACAUACACGCACACAGAGUUUAAAAGCGAUGAUGCUGCUUUCUUUCUCCUCAGAUCAGUGUAAUACUAGGCAAUUCACUUAAACCAGUUGCUUACAAUCACUCACUGUUUCUUCCUCAUUUCCUUACAGCAGAGCUGGCAACCUCAAAAUUCUUUUUCAGAACGGAGUGUGAGGUAAAAUUGCAUCAUCUGUGUAAUCAAGCCUUAAGCAUUUCAAAUGGUCCUUGAAAAAUAUUAAGAAUACAUUUGUCCAAAAGCUGUCUAUAUAUAAGUCCUCUACCUCUGCAGCAGACUACAGCACCUGCUCACCUCACAUGGCAGUGACGCACUUCCCUAAGGUAGUGAAAAAUACUCAGAAGAAAACAAGUCAUUCUUUUACCAGCGGAAGAGCUGAGGAGCGUGCUCUGGGCACGGCCUGGGCUCCCUGCGUGAGUGGGAGGAAAGCAAAGACUGAGCCCUUGCUUGCUACCUGGGCACUGCCUGUCCUGUGCACCAAGUAAGGCUGAGGCCCCGUGAGCAGAUGAAUCAAUGGCUUUAAAAUUAAAGUCCUUAUCACAACAAGUUAGGCAUGAGGGGACAAAAUCAGCCUGCAUUUGCAACUUUCAUCUUGGCAUUUUCCAUUAUGUAUGCUUUUGACUUUGCAUAUUUAAUUCUUUUUCUUUGUAAUCUACAGCAUGCGUGCUUUCCCUCUGUUAAAAGAAUUAAAAGGCAGCCUGACAGGUCAUUCUCUGAUAUUUUUCAGACCUGAGUACAGCAGAGGUGCACCAGCAGACCAGAGCCACUACACUUGUUUUGCUCUAGUGCAGCCGCAUCAGAAAUAAAUGUCCUAGUGUCACAGCUCUUACCCAGAAUGGAGCAGCACCACUGGACUGCUUUGCUUGCUGUGUCAGGAAUGCAAAUUGGUGAUGGAUUAUGAACUGACUGGGUCCUCCUUGAUGAAGUCUAUCAUCCUGUCUUACCCUGGGAUUUCUGUGAUCUUUAGGCAUUAUCCUUAGAGGCGCUACACAAGUAAUCUUGGCUACAUCCACACUGUGAGGGGAUGAGGGCCUGGGAACACCAAACCAUGUCCUCUUGACCACCAACCAGGCAGGUAUCAGCUGUGGGCUGGGUGUCAACGUGUCUGCCCAGGUCUGGAGGGACAGGCAGGCUGAGCACCCCACACCCAGCAUGCAGAGGCUCUCCCUGCCUCCACGGGGCUCCAGGGUAUAAGUGCAAGUGCAGGGGCUGUGGCUUGGUCAUAAGAGCAGUCCUGGACAGCCGUUUACUGCAAGGUCAGCAUCACCCUUGGCUUUCCAGGGCUGUUACUCCAUAGAAAAAUCACCUGGCUUUAGCUGCACCAGUGACGUUAGAUACAAGCCUCAUGUAGAAACAUGUGGGCAUGCCAAAGGGUGCUUUAUCCAGCAUUGCCUGGGGAGAAGGGGGCUGCUCAUAUAACUCCCCGCUAGGCUGCUUUUAAGUCUGUUGGUAAAGCAUUACACUUCAUCAGCAGAGUUGUGUAGGCACAAAACCUGUGUGUAUGCUAUGCUUAAAUUUGGAGGGGGAGAGGUGGAUCUGCACAUCUACAUGUGUGAAAUAAGUUCUUUAUCACCUGCUGACUGCAAGCCAAGCACACGCCCCUCACAUCUGAAGGCCCAGUUUUGUCCUGCUUGGUUUCCCCAAACACCUUCCCUUCCUGUAUGUUGCUGUUAUUCAAACAGGAACUGUUUGUGUUCACAGCCUUUAGCAGAUGAUGUAGUUCUUUUAUCUCUGUUUGGCAUCUCCCUGCCUGUUGCCGAUGCAGCUGGGUACACAUCUGAGAGCGAAUUUUCUAGGACAGCACUGUGAGGCAAAACACUUUCCCUAUUUGUUUUCUCUCUCCUUUCAUUCUAGCUCCUCAUGCCCUCUUCUCUGAGCCCUUUUUUAUAUCCUACUCCCCUUUUGCUGGUCUCUGUCUGCAAAACCGAAGUGGUACUUGUUGCUGGUGCUGGGACCCUAUGUAGGUCAACCCCUGUGAGUCAUGAAUCUGAGCUACAGUCACCCUGCAGCUGCAUCUUAAUGCAGGAGGAUAAUCUGUCCAAUCAUUUCGUGUGCCCCUGCCUCUCUUCUGCUUCCUUGGCAGAUACCAGAAGUGCCGUGCCAUGUCAUCCCACCUGGCUGCAAGCUGCACAAAAAUCCCUGGCUCAUCAGGCCAGGAGCCCAAAACAACUUACAGAUCUUCCUGUUUGGUGCCUCCUUCAUGACCAUGCAGAGCCAUGAGCACGGGGCUGUCCUACUGCUGGGAAAUGCUUCUGCACAGUGCCCUUUCAAGCAAAAGCCCCACAGCCCACAGGACUGCAAUUUAAAAUGUCACACAGAAAUGUUCUGUGCCUGGAGAUGGAGGGGGGAGCUGGUGUCUGCCAGCUGCAGGAUUGCUCUGAAAGGCUCUUUUGUCUGCAGUGAGACCCCUUACUUUCUCCAGAGCUGCAGGUCCAUACAGCAGUUACUUCAUUAAAAAAAAAGUUGAAUGACACAGAGCUGUCCUCCUUGUCACGUUCCUGCUUGACUUGCUUAGGUGCUUUUAAAACCCCUGUAAGCCCCCAACCUAUUGCUCUGAGGGCCCACAGCACUGAAAAACAGUCUCAGCACAACCUUCAGUCCAUUUUCUACCAGUUUUCAGUAACAGAAAUGGAAACUAAAUCCAGAUCUUCACACCCAUCAAAAACCUCAGCCACAAGGCUGUCCUACCAUUUCAUGUGCUGCUUUUAUUUUUGAAACUUUAGACCUGUGACACAUCCUCUAAAAAGGUUAAAUUCAAAAUUAGCUGCACGAGCAUAGAAAGGAAAGUCUGUCUCUCAGUGUAUAUUACAGUAGAGUAUCCAGCCCCCUCCAAAACAAAAUGGAAGUGUCUCUGGUUCAAGGCAGCCUACACAACAGUGAGCUGCAGGAGCUGUAAGCUAUUAUUUAGCUCCCAAGGAAAGUAAUUACUAUAGCAACCAACACAUCCGAAUGGCU